CCUACGGGAGGCAGCAGUGAGGAAUAUUGGUCAAUGGCCGGAAGGCUGAACCAGCCAAGCCGCGUGAAGGACGAAGGUGCCAAGCAUUGUAAACUUCUUUUGUCAAGGGACAAAAUCAGGCUCGAGAGCCUGACCGAGGGCACUUGAAGAAAAAGCAUCGGCAAACUCCGUGCCAGCAGCCGCGGUAAUUCGGGGGAUGAGAGCGUUGUCCGGAUUUAUUGGGGUAAACGGAGGGGUAGGCGGACUGUUAGGUCAGCGGUAACAGCCCGGGGCUCAACCCCGGCGAGCCGUUGAAACUGGCUGUCUUGAGAGGGCGAGAGGUAUGCGGAAUGCGCAGUGUAGCGGUGAAAUGCGUAGAUAUUGCGCAGAACUCCGAUGGCGAAGGCAGCAUACCGGCGGCGAUCUGACGCUGAGGCACGAAAGCGUGGGUAUCGAACAGGAUUAGAUACCCGUGUAGUC
rnacentral:rRNA from 1 species